GAUGAACGCUGGCGGCGUGCCUAAUACAUGCAAGUCGAGCGAACGGACGAGAAGCUUGCUUUUCUGAUGUUAGCGGCGGACGGGUGAGUAACACGUGGAUAACCUACCUAUAAGACUGGGAUAACUUCGGGAAACCGGAGCUAAUACCGGAUAAUAUUUUGAACCGCAUGGUUCAAAAGUGGAAGACGGUCUUGCUGUCACUUAUAGAUGGAUCCGCGCUGCAUUAGCUAGUUGGUAAGGUAACGGCUUACCAAGGCAACGAUGCAUAGCCGACCUGAGAGGGUGAUCGGCCACACUGGAACUGACACACGGUCCAGACUCCUACGGGAGGCAGCAGUAGGGAAUCUUCCGCAAUGGGCGAAAGCCUGACGGAGCAACGCCGCGUGAGUGAUGAAGGUCUUCGGAUCGUAAAACUCUGUUAUUAGGGAAGAACAUAUGUGUAAGUAACUGUGCACAUCUUGACGGUACCUAAUCAGAAAGCCACGGCUAACUACGUG
rnacentral:rRNA from 1 species